AAUUUAUGUCCGUCCAAUAAAAAUACACCGUUCUUCUCUCCACGGCAAACAAACACACCGUGGAAACAAAGCAAUGGACACAAACAUCGAUCACUACACGGUGCUAGGGUUACCUUCCGGCGAAGAAGGUUCCAACCUAACCCAAAAAGAUAUCAACAAAGCUUACAAAUCCAAAGCCCUUGAACUCCACCCCGACAAACGCCCCGAUGACCCCAACGCCGCCGCCAAUUUCCAACAACUUCGAACUUCCUACGAUAUCCUCAAAGAUGAAAAAGCUCGAAAAUUAUUCGACGAUCUUCUUCGUGUCAAGCUCGAAAAUCAACGCCGUGAAUCUCAGCGCGAUGGAAAACGCCGUAAAAUGGUUUCCGAUCUUGAAAAGAGAGAGCGUGAUGCUUUUUCGCCUGAUUCUGCGGCGAGAGGGAGAGAAGAGGAGGAUAGGAUUGCUAAGAAGUUGAAGGAAGAGAUUGCCAGGAUUCGUGCUAUGCAUGCGAAGAAAGCGGGAGCUGAUUUGGGUGUGAAGAAAGAAAACGCUUCUUCCGGUGGUGGUGGUGGUGGUGAUGGCGGUGGUGUUGAUCAAGAAAAGGUUUUGAAGGUUUCGUGGGAAAAGGUCGGUGAAGAUUAUUCAGCGGAUAAAUUGAGGGAAUUGUUUUCGAAAUUCGGUGAAGUUGAAGAUGUUGUUAUUAAAGGCAGCAAGAAAAAGGGUUCUGCUCUUGUUGUCAUGGCUACUAAACAAGGAGCUGUUGCUACAAUUGGAAAUGUGAUUGGUCAUCUUGCGAAUCCGUUGUUGGUUUUACCUCUUAAACCUGCAAUGCCAGCAGAUUCUUGGGGUGCUUCAAAGUCUGUCGAGCCUGAAGCACCGAGUAAAUUAGUUGGGGCUGGUUAUCAAGCUUUUGAGGAUUCUGUUCUUAUGAAACUGCAAAAGGCGGCAGCAAAGCAAAAAUGAUGGUAAAAUAUGUCAAACACCAGAAUGGACUAUUUGGAAUGCCGAUUCGCCGAUUCUCAUUCUUAGGAGUCUACAACCUGUGGUGAUAAGAUUCAAUUCAAGGAAGCCUCCUUUUGAUGAAAACCAAAAACUGGAAGUUGAAGGAGGUGUGGUUUUAGUGCAGCCUUGGGUCCAUGACAAAUGUUUCUGGACUGCAUAAAAGAGAGACCAAAUGCUAGCUGCUGGAAAGUCAGAGACCUAUGGUCCCUUGGUUGCAUAAAAACUUGAAUCUUGAUGUCAAUAAACAAAUCAUGUGUUCUGGGUCAGUUUGGAAUUCCUUCUGCUAUCUGUAUACAGCACUAAAAUGGGAGUUUAACUUAACACACUCAGAUUAAGUCCAGAAUUCUGAGAUUAACCUUUUGGGGAAUUUGGGGUCCAGCAAAGCAUUGUCCCAACCUAAUGGUUCAUAGCAAGCAGGCAGGCUGGGAAUUGGACAAAAAAUGGUUCUCAUAGCCCUUUGUGUUUGCAAGUACAAUAAAGGGUUAUAGCUUUAGAACGUGCGUCCAAGCUGUAGUGUGGAAUAGGUUCUAUCAUGUUCAAUGAUUGUUCCACUAACGAGUACUUUUGUAUGCUUAUUGAUUUGUGUGCUACUCCUCUGCAUUAUUAUCAUUAUUAGUAACUUA